UACGAAGGGAGCGAGCGUUGUUCGGAUUUACUGGGCGUAAAGCGUAUGUAGGCGGCUAAGCAAGUUAGGAGUGAAAGCCCAGGGCUCAACCUUGGAACUGCUCUUAAAACUGCUUAGCUAGAAUAUUGGAGAGGAUAGCGGAAUUCCCAGUGUAGAGGUGAAAUUCGUAGAUAUUGGGAGGAACAUCAGUUGCGAAGGCGGCUAUCUGGACAAUUAUUGACGCUGAGAUACGAAAGCGUGGGGAGCGAACAGG
rnacentral:rRNA from 1 species